rnacentral:lncRNA from 10 species
CAUGAUGAUCAACUCUGCCCAGGAAGUUGUCUCAGAGGGUCACCAGGAAGUGCACGGUCCAGCUGCACACAGAGGGCUCUGACUCUCCCUGAACAGCAGAGCCACAGGGGUCCCUGAGUCAGCCAGGAAGAGGGCCACCUGCCCACCAGAAGCACCACAUGGAGCUGUUCAGGAAGCAAGAAUUAACGGUGUUACAUGAAGCCACUGAAAUGCGGAGGUUUUGCUUGUUAGAUGCUAUUAUAAGUUCCCUAAUAUGGCAUGUUAUA